GUAAAUGCAGUGCCGCUACUGUAAAUUUUCUGCACAGCAGCAAGACGUGCUGCUCAAGCAUUACAGGCUUCAUCACUGGAAAGCCGGUAAAGGGCUUUAAAGUUGUUGCUGGAUCGACCUGACGUACUUGAGAAGACGUUUCCUAUCAAGGAGAGGACACCAGGAUAUUACACCUCACCAUUUGAUGGAAACAAUGUUGCUUCGAGUUAUUCUCUCACCUGACAACAUCAGGAAGCUAACUAUACCCACACCAUCGUCUACUGAUGAGCUCGCUGCCGUUCUUUGUGAAAAAUUGCAGAUUCAGAGAGGUUUCGUGAUCCAAUAUGAGGAUCCUGAUUUCAACAAUGAACUUUGUACUUUACAUGACAUCACAGAACUUCCAAAAGACAAGGCUACUUUGAAGCUCCACUGGGAACUAGUUUUAAGUUCAAUGGCAGAGGAUGGUCACCUAUCUGA